rnacentral:rRNA from 1 species
GAUACCCUGGUAGUUCACGCCCUAAAGAUGUCGACUAGUUGUUUGGACGGGUUACUGUUCAGUAACGUAGCUAACGCGUGAGUCGACCGCCUGGGGAGUACGGCCGCAAGGUUAAAACUCAAAGGAAUUGACGGGGACCCGCACAAGCGGUGGAUGAUGUGGUUUAAUUCGAUGCAACGCGAAAAACCUUACCUACCCUUGACAUGCCAGGAACUUACCAGAGAUGGUUUGGUGCUCGAAAGAGAGCCUGGACACAGGUGCUGCAUGGCUGUCGUCAGCUCGUGUCGUGAGAUGUUGGGUUAAGUCCCGCAACGAGCGCAACCCUUGUCAUUAGUUGCUACGCAAGAGCACUCUAAUGAGACCGCCGGUGACAAACCGGAGGAAGGUGGGGAUGACGUCAAGUCCUCAUGGCCCUUAUGGGUAGGGCUACACACGUCAUACAAUGGGCGGUACAGAGGGUUGCCAACCCGCGAGGGGGAGCCAAUCCCUUAAAACCGCUCGUAGUCCGGAUUGUAGUCUGCAACUCGACUGCAUGAAGUCGGAAUCGCUAGUAAUCGCGGAUCAGCUUGCCGCGGUGAAUACGUUCCCGGGUCUUGUACACACCGCCCGUCACACCAUGGAAGUGGGGUUUACCAGAAGUAGUUAGCUUAACCGCAAGGGGGGCGAUUACCACGGUAGGCUUCAUGACUGGGGUGAAGUGGUAACAAUGAGGACACAGGCGAA